GAUGAACGCUGGCGGCGUGCCUAAUACAUGCAAGUCGAGCGAACAGACGAGGAGCUUGCUCCUCUGACGUUAGCGGCGGACGGGUGAGUAACACGUGGAUAACCUACCUAUAAGACUGGGAUAACUUCGGGAAACCGGAGCUAAUACCGGAUAAUAUAUUGAACCGCAUGGUUCAAUAGUGAAAGACGGUUUUGCUGUCACUUAUAGAUGGAUCCGCGCCGCAUUAGCUAGUUGGUAAGGUAACGGCUUACCAAGGCGACGAUGCGUAGCCGACCUGAGAGGGGGACGGGCCACCCUGGAACUGACACCCGGUCCAGGCCUCUACGGGGGGCCACAAUAGGGGAUUCUUCGACAUGGGAGAAAGCCUUACGGAACAACCGCGGGUGAGGGAAGAAGGUUCUGGGCUCGUAAAACUCUUUUUAUGGGGAAAAAAAAAUUUGUAAGGAACUAUGCCCCUCUUGACGGGACCUAAACAAAAAGCCCCCGCUAACCUCG
rnacentral:rRNA from 1 species